rnacentral:rRNA from 1 species
UUGCACGCUGGCGGCAGGCCUAACACAUGCAAGUCGAGCGGAUGAAGGGAGCUUGCUCCUGGAUUCAGCGGCGGACGGGUGAGUAAUGCCUAGGAAUCUGCCUGGUAGUGGGGGAUAACGUCCGGAAACGGGCGCUAAUACCGCAUACGUCCUGAGGGAGAAAGUGGGGGAUCUUCGGACCUCACGCUAUCAGAUGAGCCUAGGUCGGAUUAGCUAGUUGGUGGGGUAAAGGCCUACCAAGGCGACGAUCCGUAACUGGUCUGAGAGGAUGAUCAGUCACACUGGAACUGAGACACGGUCCAGACUCCUACGGGAGGCAGCAGUGGGGAAUAUUGGACAAUGGGCGAAAGCCUGAUCCAGCCAUGCCGCGUGUGUGAAGAAGGUCUUCGGAUUGUAAAGCACUUUAAGUUGGGAGGAAGGGCAGUAAGUUAAUACCUUGCUGUUUUGACGUUACCAACAGAAUAAGCACCGGCUAACUUCGU